rnacentral:rRNA from 1 species
GAUGAACGCUGGCGGCGUGCCUAAUACAUGCAAGUCGAGCGAACGGACGAGAAGCUUGCUUCUCUGAUGUUAGCGGCGGACGGGUGAGUAACACGUGGAUAACCUACCUAUAAGACUGGGAUAACUUCGGGAAACCGGAGCUAAUACCGGAUAAUAUUUUGAACCGCAUGGUUCAAAAGUGAAAGACGGUCUUGCUGUCACUUAUAGAUGGAUCCGCGCUGCAUUAGCUAGUUGGUAAGGUAACGGCUUACCAAGGCAACGAUGCAUAGCCGACCUGAGAGGGUGAUCGGCCACACUGGAACUGAGACACGGUCCAGACUCCUACGGGAGGCAGCAGUAGGGAAUCUUCCGCAAUGGGCGAAAGCCUGACGGAGCAACGCCGCGUGAGUGAUGAAGGUCUUCGGAUCGUAAAACUCUGUUAUUAGGGAAGAACAUAUGUGUAAGUAACUGUGCACAUCUUGACGGUACCUAAUCAGAAAGCCACGGCUAACUACGUGCCAGCAGCCGCGGUAAUACGUAGGUGGCAAGCGUUAUCCGGAAUUAUUGGGCGUAAAGCGCGCGUAGGCGGUUUUUUAAGUCUGAUGUGAAAGCCCACGGCUCAACCGUGGAGGGUCAUUGGAAACUGGAAAACUUGAGUGCAGAAGAGGAAAGUGGAAUUCCAUGUGUAGCGGUGAAAUGCGCAGAGAUAUGGAGGAGCACCAGUGGCGAAGGCGACUUUCUGGUCUGUAACUGACGCUGAUGUGCGAAAGCGUGGGGAUCAAACAGGAUUAGAUACCCUGGUAGUCCACGCCGUAAACGAUGAGUGCUAAGUGUUAGGGGGUUUCCGCCCCUUAGUGCUGCAGCUAACGCAUUAAGCACUCCGCCUGGGGAGUACGACCGCAAGGUUGAAACUCAAAGGAAUUGACGGGGACCCGCACAAGCGGUGGAGCAUGUGGUUUAAUUCGAAGCAACGCGAAGAACCUUACCAAAUCUUGACAUCCUUUGACAACUCUAGAGAUAGAGCCUUCCCCUUCGGGGGGCAAAGUGACAGGUGGUGCAUGGUUGUCGUCAGCUCGUGUCGUGAGAUGUUGGGUUAAGUCCCGCAACGAGCGCAACCCUUAAGCUUAGUUGCCAUCAUUAAGUUGGGCACUCUAAGUUGACUGCCGGUGACAAACCGGAGGAAGGUGGGGAUGACGUCAAAUCAUCAUGCCCCUUAUGAUUUGGGCUACACACGUGCUACAAUGGACAAUACAAAGGGCAGCGAAACCGCGAGGUCAAGCAAAUCCCAUAAAGUUGUUCUCAGUUCGGAUUGUAGUCUGCAACUCGACUACAUGAAGCUGGAAUCGCUAGUAAUCGUAGAUCAGCAUGCUACGGUGAAUACGUUCCCGGGUCU